GCCGGUUUGGCGCAGUGGUAACGUAAGUCCACUCUGAACACAUCGAUUGUCAAUCUUCAGAUCCUAACAAGAUUUGCCAGGCGUCGCACUUGUACACGCCUAUAAAUGCGAAGAUCGCUAGUUCGAUUCUGGCAAUCGGCA